rnacentral:lncRNA from 1 species
GUUUAUGUGUGUGUGCUGUCCUGUCCUGCAGGUGUCUUUGUCUCCUCUCCUCUCCUGUCCGCUCCUCUCCUGUCCUCUCCUCAUUUACAUUUAGUCAUUUAGCAGACGCUUUUAUCCAAAGCGACUUACAUAUGUGCGACUUACAAUGUAUACACAUUUUACAUUUACACUGAUGGCACACUGCACAUCAGGAGCAAUUAGGGGUUCAGUGUCUUGCUCAAGGACACUUCGACAGGGAAUCGAACUAGCAACCUUCUGAUUACUAAACGACUUCUUUACCUCCUGCGCCACUGCCGCCACUGCCGUCCUCUCCUCUUCUCCUCUCCUGUCCUCUCCUUUCCUCUCCUCUCCUCUCCUCUCCUCUCCUCUCCUGUCCUGUCCUGUCCUCUCCUCUCUUCUCCUGUCCUCACCUCUCCUCUCCUCUCCUCUCCUCUCCUCCUCUCCUCUCCUCUCCUCUCCUCUUCUCCUCUCCUGUCCUCUCCUUUCCUCUCCUCUCCUGUCCUGUCCUCUUCUCUCCUCCCCUCCCCUCUCCUCUCCUCUCCUCUCCUCUCCUGUCCUGUCCUCUCUCCUCUCCUCUCCUCUCCUGUCCUGUCCUGUCCUCUCCUCUCCUCUCCUCUCCUCUCCUCUCCUCUCCUCUCCUCUCCUCUCCUGUCCUGUCCUGUCCUGUCCUGUCCUGUCCUCUCCUCUCCUCUUCUCUCCUGUCCUCUCCUGUCCUGUCCUGUCCUCUCCUCUCCUCUCCUCUCCUCUCCUCUCCUGUCCUCUCCUCUCCUCUCCUGUCCUGUCCUGUCCUGUCCUGUCCUGUCCUGUCCUGUCCUCUCCUCUCCACUCCACUCCUGUCCUGUCCUCUCCUCUCCUCUCCUGUCCUCUUCUCUCUUCUCCUCUCAUCUCCUCUCCUGUCCUGUCCUGUCCUCUCAUCUCUCUCCUCUCAUCUCCUCUCCUCUCCUCUCCUCUCCUCUCCUCUCCUGUCCUGUCCUGUCCUGUCCUGUCCUCUCCUCUCUUCUCUUCUCUUCUCUUCUCUUCUCUUCUCUUCUCCUCUCCUCUCCUCUCCUGUCCUCUCCUCUCCUCUCCUCUCCUCUCCUGUCCUCUCUUCUCCUCUCCUCUCCUGUCCUGCUGGCCA